rnacentral:rRNA from 1 species
GGAUGCGCAGCUACACAUGCAGUCGAGCGGAUGAAGGGAGCUUGCUCCCUGAUUCAGCGGCGGACGGGUGAGUAAUGCCUAGGAAUCUGCCUGGUAGUGGGGGACAACGUCUCGAAAGGGACGCUAAUACCGCAUACGUCCUACGGGAGAAAGUGGGGGAUCUUCGGACCUCACGCUAUCAGAUGAGCCUAGGUCGGAUUAGCUAGUUGGUGAGGUAAUGGCUCACCAAGGCGACGAUCCGUAACUGGUCUGAGAGGAUGAUCAGUCACACUGGAACUGAGACACGGUCCAGACUCCUACGGGAGGCAGCAGUGGGGAAUAUUGGACAAUGGGCGAAAGCCUGAUCCAGCCAUGCCGCGUGUGUGAAGAAGGUCUUCGGAUUGUAAAGCACUUUAAGUUGGGAGGAAGGGCAGUAAAUUAAUACUUUGCUGUUUUGACGUUACCGACAGAAUAAGCACCGGCUAACUCUGUGCCAGCAGCCGCGGUAAUACAGAGGGUGCAAGCGUUAAUCGGAAUUACUGGGCGUAAAGCGCGCGUAGGUGGUUUGUUAAGUUGGAUGUGAAAUCCCCGGGCUCAACCUGGGAACUGCAUCCAAAACUGGCAAGCUAGAGUAGGGCAGAGGGUGGUGGAAUUUCCUGUGUAGCGGUGAAAUGCGUAGAUAUAGGAAGGAACACCAGUGGCGAAGGCGACCACCUGGGCUCAUACUGACACUGAGGUGCGAAAGCGUGGGGAGCAAACAGGAUUAGAUACCCUGGUAGUCCACGCCGUAACGAUGUCAACUAGCCGUUGGAAGCCUUGAGCUUUUAGUGCGCAGCUAACGCAUAAGUUGACCGCCUGGGGAGUACGGCCGCAGUUAAAACUCAAAUGAUGACGGGCCCGCACAAGCGGUGGGAGCAUGUGAUAAUUCGAGCACGCGAGACCUACAGUCUUGACAUCCAGUGUGAACCUUACUCCCC